rnacentral:rRNA from 1 species
UACGGAGGGUGCGAGCGUUGUCCGGAAUCACUGGGCGUAAAGGGCGCGUAGAUGGACAGGAAAGUCAGUGGUGAAAUCUUCGAGCUUAACUCGGAAACUGCCAUUGAUACUAUUUGUCUUGAAUACUUUGGAGGUAAGCGGAAUAUGUCAUGUAGCGGUGAAAUGCUUAGAUAUGACAUAGAACACCAAUUGCGAAGGCAGCUUACUACACAGUUAUUGACACUGAGGCACGAAAGCGUGGGGAUCAAACAGG